UCCAUCUGUCCUGUGAGAAGCAGUAACUU
rnacentral:piRNA from 1 species